AUGAUUUCACAAAUGCAUUUGCUCUGGCUGCUCUUUGCUGUGUUUGGAGAAUCCAGCGGGCAGAUUGUGGUCACACAGACACCUGCUUCUGUGACGGCGCUUCCAGGAGAGACGGUCACCAUCCAGUGCAAGGCGUCCAGCUCCAUGAGCAAUGAUAUGAGUUUAUAUCUGCUUAAACCAGGACAAAAUCCCAAGCUCCUAAUAGCUGAUGCAACCAGCCGUUUCACCGGGGUCCCUGAUCGAUUCAGUGGUAGUUACAGUGGCACCGACUUCACAUUCACCAUUCGUGGGGUGCAAGUGGAAGAUGCAGGAGAAUACUACUGUGGGCAAGAUUACAGUCGUCCUCUCACAGUGAUACAAUGCAAUACAAAAACCUGUGCAGAGCCCCAGCACACACAGGGCACAGCAGAAAGAAGUGGUGGUGGCUGUUUCUAA